rnacentral:siRNA from 1 species
ACAACUUAUUGGAUGCCUAAAGAA